GAAGUCCUGCGGUUCUUGUGAUGACAAACUUUUGUUGCCUUUUCAUCACCACGCGGAGAUUGUCCCUGAGAAUGGUGAGCACGCCUUUAUUAAGGAAGCCUAAAAUUCUUACACGCUUCUCCACCUAUUCGGGCUAGGCAUCAAAAGCCCAUUUGUUCACACGGUUCUCGUGGGCUUCUC
rnacentral:other from 1 species